rnacentral:rRNA from 1 species
UACGUAGGGUCCGAGCGUUGUCCGGAAUUACUGGGCGUAAAGAGCUCGUAGGUGGUUUGUCGCGUUGUUCGUGAAAACUCACAGCUUAAUGCGGGCGUGCGGGCGAUACGGGCAGACUGGAGUACUGCAGGGGAGACUGGAAUUCCUGGUGUAGCGGUGGAAUGCGCAGAUAUCAGGAGGAACACCGGUGGCGAAGGCGGGUCUCUGGGCAGUAACUGACGCUGAGGAGCGAAAGCGUGGGGAGCGAACAGG